rnacentral:rRNA from 1 species
UCCAGCCAUGCCGCGUGUGUGAAGAAGGCCUUCGGGUUGUAAAGCACUUUUGUUGGGGAAGAAACCGACCGGACUAAUACUCCGGUUGAAUGACGGUACCCAAAGAAUAAGCACCGGCUAACUUCGUGCCAGCAGCCGCGGUAAUACGAAGGGUGCAAGCGUUACUCGGAAUUACUGGGCGUAAAGCGUGCGUAGGCGGUUUGUUAAGUCUGCUGUGAAAGCCCUGGGCUCAACCUGGGAACUGCAGUGGAUACUGGCAAGCUAGAGUGUGUCAGAGGAUGGUGGAAUUCCCGGUGUAGCGGUGAAAUACGUAGAGAUCGGGAGGAACACCAGUGGCGAAGGCGGCCAUCUGGGACAACACUGACGCUGAGGCACGAAAGCGUGGGGAGCAAACAGGAUUAGAUACCCUGGUAGUCCACGCCCUAAACGAUGCGAACUGGACGUUGGGCACACUUAGGUGCUCAGUGUCGAAGCUAACGCGUUAAGUUCGCCGCCUGGGGAGUACGGUCGCAAGACUGAAACUCAAAGGAAUUGACGG